rnacentral:rRNA from 1 species
ACGCUCGACACCUACGGGAGGCAGCAGUGGGGGAUAUUGCACAAUGGGGGAAACCCUGAUGCAGCGACGCCGCGUGAAGGAAGAAGGCCUUCGGUUGUAACUUCUGUCGUACGGGACGAUAAUGACGGUACCGUACAAGAAAGCCACGGCUAACUACGUGCCGGCAGCCGCGGUAAUCUGAGGCGGGCUGGCAAGGC